CUCCCUUUCUUCUCUCCUUUCUCUUCACGCACACACACAUGGCCGAGAGAGAGAGAGAGAGAGAUUAUGAGAUUGAGAGAGGAAGAGAUGCAGACCGUGAUGAGAGAGAACAAGGAAGAGAGAGAGAGCUGCUGCCGAGAAGAAGAAGAAGGUGAUAAAACACAAGGGGAUUCCGGCCAUGGAGUUAGUGAGGUGUAUUGCGGUUGAGUCAAGAAUCCACCGAAGGGUACUCAAGCGAACAAGACAAUGUUGUGGAUGCAGGUACAGAGAUGGUAGAUGAGGAUCUUGUUGCCAUGUAUUUAAGCCACGAUGUUCGAGGUCUAGAUGCGUUGGAGGUUUACUUUGUUUUGUUGGACUAGUUGUUAGUCCUAUUUGUUAGAGCAUUUAUAUAUAUGCUUAGAUGUUGGUAUUUUGUCUAUGGCACGUGUCGCAUGUGACACUUUGUUUAGCCAUUCUUUUGUAUGUAAAGCUCUACUCACAUAGAUGUAUU